AUUGAACGCCGGCGGCAUGCCUUACACAUGCAAGUCGAACGGUAACGGGCCUUCGGGUGCCGACGAGUGGCGAACGGGUGAGUAAUGUAUCGGAACGUACCUUUCAGUGGGGGAUAACGUAGCGAAAGUUACGCUAAUACCGCAUAUUCUGUGAGCAGGAAAGCAGGGGAUCGCAAGACCUUGCGCUGAUUGAGCGGCCGAUAUCAGAUUAGCUAGUUGGUGAGGUAAAGGCUCACCAAGGCGACGAUCUGUAGCGGGUCUGGGAGGAUGAUCCGCCACACUGGAACUGAGACACGGUCCAGACUCCUACGGGAGGCAGCAGUGGGGAAUUUUGGACAAUGGGCGCAAGCCUGAUCCAGCCAUGCCGCGUGAGUGAAGAAGGCCUUCGGGUUGUAAAGCUCUUUCGGCCGGGAAGAAAUCGUAUGGGUUAAUACCCUGUGCGGAUGACGGUACCGGCAUAAGAAGCACCGGCUAACUACGUGCCAGCCGCCGCCGUAAAAC
rnacentral:rRNA from 1 species